UAUAAAAGUACUAGAAUCUCAAUUGCAUGAAAUAAAGGAUUCCAAAAGAUUACAUUAUUCGCCCUAAAAUCAAAUUUAACUACUCAUAAUAAUGGAAGAAAAAUAGAAAAUUGUCUUAGAAUACAUCACCGAAUUUGUAAUAAAUAUGUAGAAGAAAAAGUAGAAUUAUUGCACCAAGAUCUCCUUCCCCUUCCAAUGAAUGCUUCUAAUCUUCAAUUGCUUGGUGUUAAUCUUCUUGAAUUUCUCUUUUCAAUCUCCCUUCUUGUUAUCUUCUCUCCAAUAUAUCAAGAACGCGUGGCUUGAUCCCACAGAUUUUUAGUGUGUGGCUCCCCUCUAAUUUAGGUCUUCAAUUCUAUGUUUAUAAUGUCUUGGAGUUUAGGGAAAGAUUUGGAGAUGAGUUGGGUCGAAAAAGAAUGGUAAAAACCUAAAAAAACUACUCUCGCACGGCGGCGCUUGGGCACUGCAAUUUGGGCGCCUAGGCGCUGACUUUCUGUCAAAAUUUCAGCAUCAUGGCGCCUGGGCGCUGAGGGAUAGCGCUUAGGCGCUGAGGACUACUUCGGUUGCACUAGACAGUUUUCAAUAUUUUUGUCAUAACUUUUUCGUUCGAUAUCCGAUUGAAGUGAUUCAAGAUGCAUUGGAAAGAUAAUUCAAAGGAAUAUAAUUUUACUUCAGGAAUCAUUCUCCAAUUCGAUCGUUUUCUAUGUCAAAAUGAGUCAAAAUGUGAGACCAAAACUCCGGCGCAAAACUUUUUGGUUGGAAAAUGAUUUAUGAUCAUAUUUUGACUAAAUUUGAUCCCUUUAACACCUUCCUUCAUCCAAUUGUCUUCUAGAACUCUCGGAUCUUCAUUUCAAAUUUCGACACGACUUUUGAUUAAUUGCAUUUUAAUUCUCGAACUUUGGAUCUCUUACGUUUUGGUCAUUUCAUCCAAUUUCACUAGCUUUUGCCUAUUUCCUUCCUUUGACCUUUUUUAGCUCUUGUUUUCUCCACUUCCAUCAAUCUACAAAACAACACCAAAAUCACUUGUUAGCACUUCUAAAAUACUUUCUAAGAUAGCAAAAUCAUGAAAUUAAUGGCAUAAUAUAAUGAGUGUAAAUCACUCAUCACAUACCCUUGAUGAGAGUAUUGAUACCUAUCUCGUUUCAGUACGAACACGAUAUGUGUACCAUUUAUUCGCUUUAUGUUGCAUUGGUUUGUCAUAAGAGCAUGGACGUUGCUUUGUGUACAGAAAAUUUACACACAGAACAGAUAUUAAACAGAGACAACAGUACAGUGGGUGGAGUUUUUGCAUUAUUUUAUUCGUUGGAACCCUCCUCAAUGUGAGAUUUCUGUAGGUUUUAUGUGGAAACAUUUAUUUUCUGUACACAUGGAAAAAUUCUAAGAGCAUAGUGAUAUUUCUUAAAAAGGUCGUCUAGGUGACAAGUCAAUGUUGGUAAUGCAAUAGGAAGAUUAGUGUCAAAAUGCAAAAUAAAAAGAUCUUGUAGAAAGUAAAAGUGCAGAAAAUAUAGAUUGAACACGAGAUUUCUUUUGACCUAAGCCCGAAGGUUCGAGGACCAACUUUGAUGUCUACAUCCGAUGUUGAGCAUCGGAUAAAGUGAAUUUUGCUCGAUUGCACUAAGUAGUCCUGAAUGGCAACAAAGGUUACAAAAGUUUAAUCAAUACACGGAGAUAGCACAGAAUCACUUAUCUCUUCUGGUACAACUGAAGAUUUUCGAAGAAUCACCAAGAAAACUUCACAUAACUCUCUGAAAAUGACUACUCAAAUGAACACGCUCAUUCUAACAAAUAUCCACUCAGAAUACCACAUAUCAAAGGCUAACUAUUACAGACCUUGGUUCUCAAAUCUGAACUUUAAGAUAUGAAGAAUUGAAAGAUGAAACCCUAGCAUUAGAGAGAGUUUCUCUUAGAAAACCAAAAGGUCG
rnacentral:lncRNA from 1 species